GACGAACGCUGGCGGCGUGCUUAACACAUGCAAGUCGAACGGAGUGGCGAACGGGUGAGUAACACGUGGGUGACCUGCCCUGCACUUCGGGAUAAGCCUGGGAAACUGGGUCUAAUCCCGGAUAGUGUGGGAUGGGCCCGCGGCCUAUCAGCUUGUUGGUGGAGUAGUGGCCUACCAAGGCGGCGACGGGUAGCCGGCCUGAGAGGGUGGACGGCCACAAGGGGACUGAGACACGGCCCAGACUCCUACGGGAGGCAGCAGGGGGGAAGAGGGCGCAGUGGGCGGAAGCGUGAUGAAGCGACGCUGCGUGGGGGAUGACGGCCUUCGGGGUGUAAACUCCUUUCACCAUCGACGCGGUAGAUGGAGAAGAAGCACCGGCUAACUCCGUGCCAGCAGCCGCGGUAAUAC
rnacentral:rRNA from 1 species